AUGCUCCUGGUGCUCAUCCCACUGCUGGGGAUACAUUUUGUCCUGAGAACUGUCAGAGCCCAGUCAGUGACCCAGCCUGACAUCCGCAUCACUGUCUCUGAAGGAGCCUCACUGGAGUUGAGAUGUAACUAUUCCUAUGGGGCGAUGUUGUGGGAAGUCAGGGACCCCAAACGGAGGGACCGGCUGAAGCCAUGGCAGAAGAAUGUGGAUUGUGAAGAUUUCAUGGACAUUUAUUAGUUCCCCAAAUUAAUACUUUUAUAAUUUCUUAUGCCUCUCUUUACUGCAAUCUCUAAACAUAAAUUGUAAAGAUUUCAUGGACACUUAUCACUUCCCCAAUCAAUACCCCUGUGAUUUCCUAUGCCUGUCUUUACUUUAAUCUCUUAAUCCUGUCAGCUGAGGAGGAUGUAUGUCACC
rnacentral:lncRNA from 1 species